rnacentral:rRNA from 1 species
AUGAUGAUAGAACUUGCCCGUUUGAUGCCACGGACGUUGGGAAGGUAUUCGUUCAAGAUCCCUUGGACAGGCGCUCGUGUUGCUAACAAGAAGAAUGACUGCAUUCAGUCAGCAGCCAAGGAGAUCAGAAGCCGUUUAGGGAUUAUAGGGUCAAAAGAAGGAAGGAGUUUGAAAGCAGCUCAAGCAUUACUGGAAAAGAAUUAUAACUCACCGAUGACAGAGAAGGAGGUGCAUGCUUCCAAGGCAACACUUAUUAUUUUCCUUGUGGGAUACAUGAUGGCACCGAUGGCAAAAUAUGAUUAUUCAAGCCUAACAUACUGGCCAGCGCUUAUGGGUCCUGACAAUAUUCAUAAUUACAAGUGGGGUUAA